rnacentral:misc_RNA from 1 species
AAGGAUCAUUAUCGAGUUAGGGUCUCUUAGGCCCGACCUCCAACCCUGUGUUUACUUUGACUAUUGUUGCUUCGGCGAGCCCGCCCCUCCGGGGGCCGCCGGAGGGUUCACCCCCUCUGGCCCGCUGCUUGUCGGUGGCCUAUAAUUAAAACUCAAUUGUCAAAACAGUGUCGUCUGAAGUACAAAAUUAAUUAAAGCAAAACUUUCAACAACGGAUCUCUUGGUUCUG